rnacentral:rRNA from 1 species
UACAGAGGUCUCAAGCGUUGUUCGGAUUCAUUGGGCGUAAAGGGUGCGUAGGUGGCGCCGUAAGUCAGGUGUGAAAUUUCGGAGCUCAACUCCGAAACUGCAUUUGAUACUGAGGAUCUUGAGUCCGGGAGAGGUGAGUGGAACUGCGAGUGUAGAGGUGAAAUUCGUAGAUAUUCGCAAGAACACCAGUGGCGAAGGCGGCUCACUGGCCCGGUACUGACGCUGAGGCACGAAAGCGUGGGGAGCAAACAGG